AUUGUAUUAUACUCUUUAUUGCACUGGGACGUAGACAAUCUUGUUUGAUAUAAAUGCAGAAAAUCCGCAAUCUAUUUAUAACCAAACACUAAUCGACUAGCAUAUUUAUAAUUACGAAUGAGUUUUUACAGUCCCUAAGUGGAAAUUUGCUGGUAUAUCCACUCGAGAUGCAUCGCGACGUCCGUAUAAAUCACGUAUUUAUUGAGAUCGCAGGAAUUACUGGACCUGUCAGAAGCUGAUAAGGAAACAAUACCUCGAAGAUAGUAGCGUCCCCUCGUUUUAUCGUAUAUUACCAACCCGCUUCCGCUGUCACCGUUACAAGGGCCAGUACUGUUUCUAAAACCCGCGCAGAAUGUCCGAUUCGAUGUUACUUCUGCAAACGGCCGAUAGCUCCAGUGACACUCUAACUGCAAUUCAACGAAAUGAUAAUUUGUACAAGUUACGCAUUUCAAUCCUAGCAUUCCUCUAAAACGUAAUAUACAUUGUCCUGAGAGUAGAUCAAUGCUUGGGAUAAGUGGGCUCGGCGGAAUCGUUGGAACUGACGGAAUCGUUGGAACUGGCGGACUCGGUGUAAACGUUGCCGGUGUAUUUGUAACAACAGUGGGCGGCCGAAUAUCGGGUUCGGAUGUUGUGUCGUCUAAACUCUGUAGGUCGAGGAACAAACUCCUGUCGUCCACGGUCAGAAGCGACGUACUCGGUGGAAACAGUGUGUGAUUUAGGACGAUAGAGUGUGGACUAUUAACAACCCUUUACACUUGGGACUCUGUCACCACUUGGUUUUAUACAGUAAAAUUAUAAAGUUUGUAUAAUGUACUCAUUGUCAGAAGGUUUAUCUAGGAAUUAUUGUUUUCUGAAACGCGAUUACAACAUGACUCAUCAUACAAUAGAA